rnacentral:lncRNA from 1 species
AAAAAUGACCUAAGUGUUGUGAUUCAUGAACACCUGAGCGACAUGAAUAACAGAUAUUUCAGAUACAGCUGAACCCACCUUUUUUAAGAUGCUAUGAUUGCUUUAAUAAUAUUAAAGUAAUACAAAAUAACCAACUUCAUGUGGUUGGUUGCUCACUAUUAACACAAUUCAGACACCAUGGAGUGUGGGCCAUAAUAAUGUAUAAUGCUGGAAGCAUGAGACCACUUACAAUAUAUGGCCUACUGGAAAAAUAGAGAUAAAAGGUUGUUUUAAAGUGAAAGUAAGCUUGGGCCAAUUAAGAUCAGUAGAAGAUAUAGAAAUUCUAGGGCAUACAGCUUACCUGAGACAUCUGCCAUUGUUCAUGUGCACCACCACCUUCACUUGAGAGUACCCUGACAGCCAAGUAAAAUGAAGGAAACAAGAAUCAAAAUUUACCUGAUAAGAGACCAUAUCUAUAAUUGGGGUUUGAAAUAUCAUUUUCGGGCAUCAGAUUAAGCACACGGCUAAACAGUAUCUAGUAAUUGCAAAAGAAAGCAGCACAAAACAACAUGAAGAUAAAAAUUUCAAAUAGUGGCAAUAAAUUUUAUGCAAUUCUUUCUCUAUUUAUUCAAAGUUUUGAAAGCCUAGAUUGAAAUUUUGAAAAAAAGAUUGCAGUUCGAUAUGUGUUCGACUUGAAUAGUGCUUUUUGUGAAGUCCACUAUGCCAUGUUAAAGGGUCCCACUAUGACAUCAAAGAUAAAUGAUAAUGACCUUUAUCAAAACUCAGCUGGCACAACUAGCGGAAAAGGUCUUGACAGAUUUCUGCUCCAUCUUCCAUGAUUAAGGCCUGUAGGGAGUUUUAGCAGGAAACCAUUGAUUUGUUGCAGAACACCUAUAUGUAAGAUAUACCCCGCUCCCACAUAGUACUCUGCAAUUGUUGUUAGCUAUGCACACACACACACACCCCAUAAAAAAAAAAAUUAAAAAUUAUCCACAAGACUAUAUUGAACUUUCCACAUCAAAUUACUUCAAUAGUGAUGGCCCAUAACCGUCUGCAUGACAUUGGACCUCAAUUUUGUAUCACAAAAUCCUGUCUACAUGGGUUGAGACUUGAGAUUAAGCAAACUUCUCUUAAUCCUUAUUGUAAGUAUUCAACCAGAUAAGCAAUAAGUUGCAGCUGAUCAGAGGAGUAGAAAGGCCCUAUAUUUUAAAUCCAUUUGUAAACACAGCAGUUAUAUCGUGAACAAGCACAUCAGCAAAGCAUCACACCUAAAGGAUGUUAUUUAAUUACUAUCGCUUAUGUAGUCCUACUUGAAGCAGUAACAUAAGAAAACUAGCACCCUUCCAACUUGUCUUAGUUUUUAUCGAGAGUUAAAACCAUAACACAACAAAUAAAAAUUGCAUACCCUCUAUAAAUAAUUUGCAGAUGAUAAAACUUGAGAACGAGCUUCAUCCUAAGUUAACUGUACACUCUUUACGUCAAAGUAAUAUCAUAGGUAACAAAUUGAUCGAAACUGUGAGGGCAUAAACUACGGGUGGUUCCUGCUCAAACACUACAAUAUAGAUUUAACAAAUACCUCACUGCCAUUCCCCAUGUAAGAAUACAUGAUGGAGCUACCAGUACAAUUUCCAAAGAGAUGACACAACCAAAUACUCCUUAGUCCUUACUAUUGUACUGACAGAAAAAUAUACUAUUCGUUAAUUGUCAGCAUCAGAUAAAAACAAUCUAUUCUUUUCCGGAAAGGCAAACUUCCUGAGCUUAAAUGCUUGAUCCUAUGGUAAGACAAAGGCUAGUUGCCAUAUCAGUAACUCUGUCAGUUUUUGAACUUUCCAUACAACUAUACCAUAUACAUGUUCCCUUACACAUUUAUAACCCAGUUGCUAGACACACUAGACUUGAUUCAAAUCUAAUUCCUAGAGCUUGGCUACAAAGAACUUGAACACGAAAGCUAUAUACUUUUCGUAGGAAAUCAGUCUUUGAAGCUAGGAGGACUAGAUUAUCUUGCUUGAUCCUAUGGUAAGACGAAGACUAAUUCUCAUAUCAUACAACUAUUACCAUAUACAUGUUCCCUUACACUUUUAUAACCCAAUUGGUUGAAAAAUAUUUACAAAUAUUGAUGCACUAGACUUUGUUCAAAUUUAUCCUAGAGCUUGGAUAAAUUCGUUUUGUAGGCGAUAGUCUUUGUAGCUGGGAGGGCUAGAGUUUCUUGGUGGACGCAGAAUCACUAAGAAGUAAAAGAGCACUGCGACUUCUUUAGAGCAAUUUCUCUGGAAUGGGUAACUCUAGUUAAAUCAUCUAUAACAAAAAUCGAUUAUUGACAGAGUCCUACUUAAACAGUGAUAAUUACAGGUUUCUGACAGUUGGAUAUAUACUGUUCGAUAAGAUAAAAUCAUGAAAUCUUUAUGAAAACCUUACAAGAUAUAACAAUGUACGUCUCAUAAUAUCAUUAAAUUGUUACUGUAUUAGAUUACGAGAUCAUCAUUAGAGAAACACAAAUUGAACUAAUCUAAUAGAAUUUUGAAAUUUAACAAGAACUAUACCAUAAGAAAAGAAAUUUGAAUUGCAAAGUGAUUUUACUUACAUUUGAUUUCGUUCCUUCUGCCAAAAUGUGUAAUUUAGGGAAAAAUUAGCUUCGAUUGAGAGAAGUAAAGUAAACAGAGAGAUGUUUGAAGUUUGAAGAAACCCUAAUUUUGAUUUUGGGUGAGAAAAUAAUUAUUGCCGCGGAAAAAAAAAAUGUGGAGAGAAGCUGC